rnacentral:misc_RNA from 1 species
GAUGAAGAAACGUAGCGAAAUGCGAUACGUAAUGUGAAUUGCAGAAUUCAGUGAAUCAUCGAGUCUUUGAACGCACAUUGCGCCCCCUGGUAUUCCGGGGGGCAUGCCUGUCCGAGCGUCAUUGCUGCCCUCAAGCACGGCUUGUGUGUUGGGCCUCCGUCCUCCUCCCGGGGGACGGGCCCGAAAGGCAGCGGCGGCACCGCGUCCGGUCCUCGAGCGUAUGGGGCUCCGUCACCCGCUCUUGUAGGCCCGGCCGGCGCUUGCCGACACAUCAAUCUUUUUUCCAGGUUGACCUCGGAUCAGGUAGGGAUACCCGCUGAACUUAAGCAUAUCAAUAAGCGGAGGA